rfam:Schistosoma haematobium scaffold1538_1, whole genome shotgun sequence.
GCACUGCUGAGGAGUCCCGUACCAGGACGAAACGGCCGUCCAGUGC